rnacentral:rRNA from 1 species
CCUACGGGUGGCAGCAGUGAGGAAUAUUGGUCAAUGGGCGGGAGACUGAACCAGCCAAGCCGCGUGAGGGAGGAAGGUACAGAGUAUCGUAAACCUCUUUUGUCAGGGAACAAAGGCGGGGACGUGGUCCCGGAUGAGUGUACCUGAAGAAAAAACAUCGGCUAACUCCGUGCCAGCAGCCGCGGUAAUACGGGGGUUGCGAGCGUUAUCCGGAUUUAUUGGGUUUAAAGGGUGCGCAGGCGGUCGAUUAAGUCAGCGGGCAAAGCCCGGGGCUCAACCCCGGCCCGCAGUUGAAACUGGCAGUAUCGAGUUGGAGAGAAGUAUGCGGAAGGCGCGGUGUAGCGGUGAAAUGCAUAGAUAUCGGGAAGAACACCGAUUGCGAAGGCAGCAUGCCGGCUCCACACUGACGCUGAGGCACGAAAGCGUGGGUAUCGAACAGGAUUAGAUACCCUGGUAGUC